rnacentral:lncRNA from 1 species
GUCGAGUCCGUUUCCCCACCAAACUAUACUUUAGACCAGUCUAAAAUUGGUCAUUUCUGUGAACGUUUUGCCCAGUAAGACGCGCUGCCGCUGUGAUAUUUUACCUUCAAAAUAAUCCCACCCCAUUGGUUCAGAUGUCUUUCCCUCCACCGGCCUAGCGCCCACACGAGCAGAGGAGCUAUUAACCUUUCAACUUUGACCUCUGAUAUGUUAACAGUCGAUGACCUCUGCUGGUGCAGGUGCUACGUCAAAUCUGGCCCAAUACGCCCCCACAGCGCUGGAGCUCACCUAGACUGCAAACAAACUGUCAGGAUCGGGAAGCUGAAAAGACGGAAACCGGAAGACAGACAGGACGGUUCAACAGAUUCGGUGCCUCUGGAGGAUGAUUGGAACGAGAGGAGAAGGAUGCAGAUGGCGUCAUUAGGAUUUAAGAGUGUGAUGAUGGUUAACACGCUCUCUAAGGAAGGCAGAGACAGUGACGCAGACCUGGACGUAGACGGAGAUGAUACUCUGGAAUAUGGCAGAGCGCAAUACACAGAGACUGACAUCAUUCCCUGCUCAGGAGAAAACUCCAAAGAAGCAAAAGUGAAGUAUGUGUUUCCUCCAAAUGUUUAUCUUUAAAAAAAAAAAAAAAAUUGUCUAUAGUUCUCCCAUUUUGUCUCGAGUUACCGGUAUUUUUUGCUUUGUUGUGUUUAUGCAGUAGCAGCAUCCUUCCUGACUCUAGAGGUGGCCUUGAUUUGUCCAAAUGGUCAAAUGAUGGUGAGCUCUCAAUUGAUAGGUUUAAUAAAUAUAUAUAAAGCACAAAAUUAUUAGUAGUU